AGCUCCAGUAGCGUAUAUUAAAGUUGUUGCAGUUAAAAAGCUCGUAGUUGGAUUUCUGGCGAACCGUUGCGGCCCGUGCUCGUCUCGGGCGUGUGUGCCGUGUCGUGUUUGUCAUCCUUCCAGAAAGCUGCGUCUACCAUUUAUUUGGCCGGACGUACGUGAUCUGGAUCGAUUACUUUGAAAAAAUUAGAGUGUUUAAAGCAGGCUUAUGCUGUGAAUACAUUAGCAUGGAAUAAUAAUUUAGGACUUCUUCUAUUU
rnacentral:rRNA from 1 species